rfam:Schistosoma margrebowiei strain Zambia genome assembly, scaffold: SMRZ_contig0000049
GCACUGAUGGAGAGUUCCACAAUAGGACGAAACGGCCGUCCAGUAC